rnacentral:rRNA from 1 species
GAUGAACGCUAGCGGCAGGCCUAAUACAUGCAAGUCGGACGGGAUUCAGGAGCUUGCUUCUGAUGAGAGUGGCGCACGGGUGCGUAACACGUAUGUAACCUACCUUUAUCAGGGGGAUAGCCUCUCGAAAGAGAGAUUAAGCCCGCAUAAAAUCACAGCACAGCAUUGUGUAAUGAUCAAAUAUUUAUAGGAUAAAGAUGGGCAUGCGGAACAUUAGCUAGAUGGCGGGGUAACGGCCCACCAUGGCGACGAUGUUUAGGGGAUCUGAGAGGAUGGCCCCCCACACUGGUACUGAGACACGGACCAGACUCCUACGGGAGGCAGCAGUAAGGAAUAUUGGUCAAUGGGCGGAAGCCUGAACCAGCCAUGCCGCGUGCAGGAAGACGGCCCUACGGGUUGUAAACUGCUGUUAUACGGGAAUAAACCCAGAUACGUGUAUCUGGCUGAAUGUACUGUAAGAAUAAGGAUCGGCUAACUCCGUG